rnacentral:rRNA from 1 species
UACGUAGGGUGGCAAAGUGUUGUCCGGGCAUUUAUUGGGCGUAAAGCGCUCGUAGGCUGUUUUUUUUAGUUUUGAUGUGAAAGGCCCGCUGCUCCACCGUGGAGGGGUCAUUGGAAACUUGGGAACUUGAGUGCAGAAGAGGAGACGUGGAAUUCCCAUGUGUAGCGGUGAAAUGCGUAGAGAUGUGGAGGGAACACCAGUGGCGAAGGCGACUUUCUGGUCUGUAACUGACGCUGAUGUGCGAAAGCGUGGGGAUCGAACAGGAUUAGAUACCCUGGUAGUCCACGCCGUAAACGAUGAGUGCUAAGUGUUAGGGGGUUUCCGCCCCUUAGUGCUGCAGCUAACGCAUUAAGCACUCCGCCUGGGGAGUACGGUCGCAAGGUUGAAACUCAAAGGAAUUGACGGGGGCCCCGCACAAGCGGUGGAGCAUGUGGUUUAAUUUGAAGCAACGCGAAGAACCUUACCAGGUCUUGACAUCCUUUGACCCUUCUAGAGAUAGGAGUUUCCCCUUCGGGGGACAGAGUGACAGGUGGUGCAUGGUUGUCGUCAGCUCGUGUCGUGAGAUGUUGGGUUAAGUCCCGCAACGAGCGCAACCCUUGAUCUUAGUUGCCAUCAUUCAGUUGGGCACUCUAAGUUGACUGCCGGUGACAAACCGGAGGAAGGUGGGGAUGACGUCAAAUCAUCAUGCCCCUUAUGAUUUGGGCUACACACGUGCUACAAUGGACAGUACAAAGGGCAGCGAAACCGCGAGGUUAAGCCAAUCCCAUAAAUUUGUUCUCAGUUCGGAUUGUAGUCUGCAACUCGACUGCGUGAAGCUGGAAUCGCUAGUAAUCGUGGAUCAGCAUGCUGCGGUGAAUACGUUCCCGGGUCUUGUACACACCGCCCGUCACACCACGAGAGUUUGUAACACCCGAAGUCGGUGGGGUAACCUUUAUGGAGCUAGCC